rnacentral:rRNA from 1 species
CAGUCGCCGCGGUAAUACAGAGGGUGCAAGCGUUAAUCGGAAUUACUGGGCGUAAAGCGCACGCAGGCGGUCUGACAAGUCAGAUGUGAAAUCCCCGGGCUUAACCUGGGAACUGCAUUUGAAACUGUCAGGCUGGAGUCUUGUAGAGGGGGGUGGAAUUCCAGGUGUAGCGGUGAAAUGCGUAGAGAUCUGGAGGAAUACCGGUGGCGAAGGCGGCCCCCUGGACAAAGACUGACGCUCAGGUGCGAAAGCGUGGGGAGCAAACAGGAUUAGAUACCCCGGUAGUCCCUGUCUCUUAUAC